CCUACGGGCGGCAGCAGUGGGGAAUAUUGCACAAUGGGGGAAACCCUGAUGCAGCGACGCCGCGUGAGUGAAGACGUAUUUCGGUAUGUAAAGCCCUAUCAGCAGGGGAGAAAAUGACGGUACCUGAUUAAGAAGCCCCGGCUACCUACGGGCAAGCAGCCGCGGUAAUACGUAGGGGGCAAGCGUUAUCCGGAUUUAAUGGGUGUAAAGGGAGCGUAGACGGCAGCAGAAGUGGGGAGGGAAAUGCCGGGGCUUAAACCCGGAACUGCUUUGGAAACUGUGCAGCUAGAGUGCAGGAGAGGUAAGUGGAAUGCGUAGUGUAGCGGUGAAAUGCGUAGAUAUUAGGAGGAACACCAGUGGCGAAGGCGGCGUACUGGACUGCAACUGACGUUGAGGCUCGAAAGCGUGGGGAGCAAACAGGAUUAGAUACCCUAGUAGUC
rnacentral:rRNA from 1 species